GACGAACGCUGGCGGCGUCCCUAAUACAUGCAAGUAGAACGCACAGUUUAUACCGUAGCUUGCUACACCAUAGACUGUGAGUUGCGAACGGGUGAGUAACGCGUAGGUAACCUGCCUGGUAGCGGGGGAUAACUAUUGGAAACGAUAGCUAAUACCGCAUAAUAUUGAUUAUUGCAUGAUAAUUAAUUGAAAGGUGCAAUUGCACCACUACCAGAUGGACCUGCGUUGUAUUAGCUAGUAGGUGAGGUAACGGCUCACCUAGGCGACGAUACAUAGCCGACCUGAGAGGGUGAUCGGCCACACUGGGACUGAGACACGGCCCAGACUCCUACGGGAGGCAGCAGUAGGGAAUCUUCGGCAAUGGACGAAAGUCUGACCGAGCAACGCCGCGUGAGUGAAGAAGGUUUUCGGAUCGUAAAGCUCUGUUGUAAGAGAAGAACGGGUGUGAGAGUGGAAAGUUCACACUGUGACGGUAUCUUACCAGAAAGGGACGGCUAACUACGUG
rnacentral:rRNA from 1 species